rnacentral:lncRNA from 1 species
AAGUUUCAUGCAACGAUUACUACACUGAAAGACCGACCUAUUGCUUACACUAUCAAAAAGUGGAGACCAUACUUACUUGAUCAACGGGUUGUGAUGCGUUGCAGAUAGUCUAUGGCUAAAGUGCUGAAAGAGAAGCUCCCCGAGAUUGAUGCUGCUCAGCCUUGAGGACAAGGCUGAUUUGAAGAGGGAGGAACUGUUAGGACCCUUUUUCUGAGCUUUUAAAUAAUGUUUAUU